rnacentral:lncRNA from 1 species
UAUGCGAAGGGGUUAUGUUGGCAUUGUGACGAGCCGUGGAGCCGUGAGCAUCGUUGUAGUAAAGGGAGACUUCUUAUGAUUGAACCAAUAGAAGAAGAGGUCAUUGAACAUCUAGAAGAGAGCCUUGAACAUGAAGAAGAAGAUGCAGAAGAAGAGCCACAACCGACUGAAGUUACGGUACAUGCACUAGCCGGCUACUCAAACCCGGAAACGAUGAAAGUUGGAGGCCUUCUCAAACAACAACCGAUCAUUGUUCUCAU